UGGGCUGUCGGAUAGCUGUGCUGGGGCCCGGGAACUCUACCUCGUGGCUUCUGAACAGGCAGGCUUAGUCCAGAAGGCGCGCUGCUGCUCUGCUGCUGGAAAAAGCCUUUGAAAGAUUAUGACGCAUACCACAGAGACAAAUCAACAGUCCUAAGAAGACCUGAAAAAUGGAAUCCAGAUGAAAAAAAUGAGCAGCCUGGGAGAGAAUGGAGAAGGAUGGCUUCUUGGAGGAGCACGGUCUUCACAGAAGUCGUGACUGCAGAUUGGCAGGGGAAGACAGAAGAGCACUUGUCAAAGGCUCAGAGUUGGGUCUGGUUAUGGGGAAAAAAACGUUUGCAAACCACAUGUCUGAUAGGAGUUAAUAUCCAAAAUAAACAGGGAAGUCAUACAACUCAACAGCAAAAAAACCCAAAUAACCCAAUUAAAAAAUGGGCAAAGGAUCUGAUUACUUUUCCAGAGAAGAUGUAUGAAUGGCCGACAGGUACUCUACAUGAAAAGAGGCUCAACACCCACUAAUAAUUAGGGAAAUUCAAGUCAAAACCACAGUGAGAUACCACCUCAUUCUUGUCAGAAUGGCUGUUAUCCAAAAGACAAAGCGAACAAAAGCUGAUGCUCUUGAGAAAAGGGAACCCUCGUGCACUGUUGGUGGGCAUGUAAAUUGGUGCAGCCACUAUGGAGAACAGUGUGGAGGUUCCUCAAAAAAUUGAACAUAGAGCUACCGUAUGAUCCAGCAAUUCCACUUCUGGGAAUGUAUCUGAAGAAAACUAAAACACUCUGUCAAAGAGCUUCCUGCGUCCCCGUGUUCCUAGCAGCAUUAUUUACAAUAGCCAAGACAUCCACAGACCAGUGCAUAAAGGAGUUGUAAGUUAUAUAUCUAUAUAUUUGUGACAACAUGGACAGACCUUGAGAGCAUUAUGCUUAAGUGAGAUAAGUCAGAGAGAGAAAGACAAAUACUUAUGGUCUCACUUACACGUGGAAUCGAAAACAACGAAAACAACCAAACUCAUAGAAGAAGAGAUCCCAUUUGUGGUUACCUGGAGUGGGGGAGGGGGAGGAGGGGGAAUGGAAUGAAAGUGAUCAAGAGGCACAAACUUCCAGGUAUGAGAGAACUAAGCACUCGGGAUGUAACAUACAACAUGAUGAGUAUAGUUUUAACACCGCCGUAUGGUAUAUAGGCAAGUUGUUAAGAGGGUAGAUCCUAAGGGUUCUCAUCCCAGGAAAAGAAAUUUUUUUGUAUCUGUAUGAGAUGAUGGAUGUUAAGUAAACUUACUG